AUGCUUGUGAUGAGCGAAUUACCGCCCCAGUCUGAUUUCAAUGACUGAUCGGUAAGUUGUCUGACAGCAA
rnacentral:snoRNA from 1 species